rnacentral:rRNA from 1 species
AUUAGGAAUCUUGCGCAAUGGGGGAAACCCUGACGCAGCGACGCCGCGUGAAGGAUGACAUCCUUCGGGAUGUAAACUUCUUUUAUUUGGGAAGAAGAAUGUGACGGUACCAAAUGAAUAAGCCCCGGCUAACUACGUGCCAGCAGCCGCGGUAAUACGUAGGGGGCGAGCGUUGUCCGAAUUUACUGGGCGUAAAGAGCAUUAAGGCGGUUUCUUAAGUGCGAGGUGAAAGGUUCAGGGCUCAACCCGAACACUGCCUUGCAUACUGGGAGACUUGAGUACGGGAGAGGCGAAUGGAAUUUCUGGUGUAGCGGUGAAAUGCGUAGAUAUCAGAAGGAACACCCAUGGCGAAGGCAGUUCGCUGGCCUGUAACUGACGCUGUAGUGCGAAAGCGUGGGGAGCAAACAGG